rnacentral:rRNA from 1 species
GUAGGUGGCAAGCGUUGUCCGGAAUUAUUGGGCGUAAAGCGCGCGCAGGCGGUUCUUUAAGUCUGAUGUGAAAGCCCACGGCUCAACCGUGGAGGGUCAUUGGAAACUGGAGAACUUGAGUACAGAAGAGGAAAGCGGAAUUCCACGUGUAGCGGUGAAAUGCGUAGAGAUGUGGAGGAACACCAGUGGCGAAGGCGGCUUUCUGGUCUGUAACUGACGCUGAGGCGCGAAAGCGUGGGGAGCAAACAGGGAUUAGAUACCCUGGUAGUCCACGCCGUAAACGAUGAGUGCAAGUGUUAGGGGGGUUUUCCGGCCCCCCUUAGUGCUGCAGCUAACGCAUUAAGCACUCCGCCUGGGGAGUACGGCCGCAAGGCUG